GCUUAACCUGGUUGAUCCUGCCAGUAGUCAUAUGCUUGUCUCAAAGAUUAAGCCAUGCAUGUCUAAGCACAAGCCGAUUAAUGGUGAAGCCGCGAAUGGCGCAUUACAACAGCCAUAGUUCCCUAGAUCUUACUUUUCUACUUGGAUAACUGUGGUAAUUCUAGAGCUAAUACACGCAAACAAGCUCAGACCUUACGGAAUGAGCGCAUUUAUUAGAACAAAAACCAAUCGGAUCUCGGUCCGUCAUUUGGUGAAUCUGAAUAACUUUGCUGAUCGCACGGUCAUCGUACCGGCGACAUAUCUUUCAAAUGUCUGCCUUAUCAACUUUCGAUGGUAGUUUAUGCGCCUACCGUGGUUGUAACGGGUAACGGAGAAUAAGGGUUCGACUCCGGAGAGGGAGCCUGAGAAACGGCUACCACAUCCAAGGAAGGCAGCAGGCACGCAAAUUACCCACUCCCAGCACGGGGAGGUAGUGACGAAAAAUAACGAGACGGCUCGCUAUGCGGUCCGUCAUCGGAAUGGGUACAAUUUAAAUCCUUUAACGAGGAUCUAUUGGAGGGCAAGUCUGGUGCCAGCAGCCGCGGUAAUUCCAGCUCCAAUAGCAUAUAUUAAAGCUGUUGCGGUUAAAACGCCCGUAGUUGGAUCAGCGGACGUGGACGAACGGUCUCCCGAUGGGCUGUACUGUUCUCCUGUCCUAAUCAAUGUCUAGUUCGCUCUAGGUGCCCUUCACUGAGUGUCUAGAGUGGCUGGAACUUUUACUUUGAAAAAAUUAGAGUGCUCAAAGCAGGCGUCUCAGCCUGAAUAGUGGUGCAUGGAAUAAUGGAAUAGGACCUCAGUUCUAUUUUGUUGGUUUUCGGAGCAUGAGGUAAUGAUUAAGAGGGACAGACGGGGGCAUUCGUAUUGCGACGUUAGAGGUGAAAUUCUUGGAUCGUCGCAAGACGAACUACUGCGAAAGCAUUUGCCAAGAAUGUUUUCAUUAAUCAAGGACGAUAGUUAGAGGUUCGAAGGCGAUCAGAUACCGCCCUAGUUCUAACCGUAAACGAUGUCAACCAGCGAUCCGCAGGGGUUAUUCAUGACUCUGCGGGCAGCUUCCGGGAAACCAAAGUUUUUGGAUUCCGGGGGGAGUAUGGUUGCAAAGCUGAAACUUAAAGGAAUUGACGGAAGGGCACCACCAGGAGUGGAGCCUGCGGCUUAAUUUGACUCAACGCGGGGAAACUCACCCGGCCCGGACACCGUAAGGAUUGACAGAUUGAGAGCUCUUUCUUGAUUCGGUGGGUGGUGGUGCAUGGCCGUUCUUAGUUGGUGGAGCGAUUUGUCUGGUUAAUUCCGAUAACGAACGAGACUCUAGCCUACUAAAUAGAAGGCAAAUCAUUCGUUUGCUGUACUUCUUAGAGGGACUAGGGGCG
rnacentral:rRNA from 1 species